CUGCAUUUGGGAAGCGUCCAGCGAGUCGUGCAAUGGUCUGUCUACGAGUCGGCUGCAUUGGGGAAGCGUCCGAGGCAUAUGGUGUUUUACUGAGAUGGAAACCCCUUAAAGAGAAUAAAAGAAAAGGAGAUGAGACCCUGGAAAUUGCAACUUGAAAACUAAGCGGCUGGACAGCAAGAAGUACAGGGACUUGAUAGUGCUGGGUUUGCCUUGGAAGAGCACAGAAGAUGACAUGAAGGCUUACUUCUCAAAGUUUGGUGAAGUCAUCGUGGCACAGAAUUCGAUUAUGGCAAAUCCAGAUAGAGCUCCCAUUUUUCGUAAGAAGAUUCCAGCCAUGGUCUGUUUAUAAGGUGGCUGCAUGGGGGAACAUCGGAAGCAUAUGGUGUUCCUCGGAAAUGGAAACCUUCCAUGGAAGCCGUAAAAGUUGAGGCAGGUAGCAUUGGUGAGCGCCUUGCCUGAUGAUGGUCCAUUUUCAUAAGUUUAAAAUGGAGAAAGCGAUGUCAGCAUUUGGAAUUUCAAGAGUCCUUGCCUAGUUGUAAUAUCAUUGGAAUUUAGGACCCUUUAAUAUCUUCACCAGUUUCAAUGUGACACACGUGGCGUUGUCACUGGUCUAGAAUACCAGAAGCUACUACCCCCAACCUCGCCCUUGUGGUACUAAGAGGCAAUCGUACAGGCUACGAUAUGGCAGUUUUCCAGGAAUAAUGCCCGAACGCAAAUGCCAUCAAUCCUAGCCAAAAUGUCCAAGAUGUGAAACACUUAAUAGCGCUAGCAUCGAACCCCUGUAGCCACUUUCAUUGAUGAUCGGACGUCCUAGCAGUCUUGGUUUUUUAAGAACACAGCUUGUCUGCAAAAAAUUGAGAAUGUGGAAUGGUAAUGAAGAGCAAUGUACUGAAUGUAAGAGGAAUACAACCUAAUAAUGUACUCGGGCCUUUUAUAUAUUGAUAAUAUUUGAGCUUCAUAUGUCACAGAUAUGAGUUGGGUGUAAUGUUUUUAGUAAGUUCUAUUUUUUCACUUAGACGACGAAACAUUUUAUUCCAAAAGCUUAAGAGAAAACUGACGGUCAGUAUGGUCAUCCAUAAUUCCAUAAAUGUUCAAUUGAAUAAGAUGAAUUGUGGUUCUGUGUGAAAAUUUUAAGUCUGCCUCUACAGUUAUUAUUAAAACUUGAAAUAGAAUAUCCAGUUGCUUUAUCCACAUCUCAAUGCAGAUAAGUUUUCGCCUGCAAAACAUUGGUAUUACCACCACUUAUGGUCGUCUGUGCUUUAUUUCAAUCUUAGUGAUGUAGUCAUUUUUCAAAUUUGUGCUUUUGAUGAUGUGGAGUUGUUCGUCAGUAUAGCGUUUGAGAAGAUCAUAAUCCGCACACUAACCUCGACUAACCCUCACAUCUUUGUAAAAUCCGACUUGAUGUAAAGGCUUUUACAUGAAGAGGUUUUACAUUGACAGCUUGUGCAAAAUCUAUAAUGAAAUAUUUUACGUUUGAGAAAAUAUUUCAUUAUAUUUUUUGUACACAGUCUGCUCCUCGUGAGGGAUGGCUGGGUGCACACAGUCAUCUCUCAAGAUUGAGGAUCGCACAUUACUAAUAUUAUGAUUUUCUCAAGUGUUAUAGUUGACAAAUAUAUCCAAUUCAUCAUAUAUGCACCUUUUUCCUCCGGACCCAAAAAUUCAUAUUGAAAUUUGCAUGGACGGUCAUACGGUGUAAUAUGAAAUAUGUUGAAGCAGGCUUGCCUUAUUCUUUACUUGUAUCAUACAGGUAGUUGCGAUUUCAAGGCAAAAUUACAUUUGAGAAACUUUAUUUUAAACAGUUAUAUGUCAAAGUUUAAUUUCAAUCAUUGAGGUGUUUCUUUCAGUAGGAAUUACAUGUACUUUGGUAAAUACUUGUGCUUCAUCUUGUGUACCAGUAUAGUGUAUAUAGAGAAUGGUUUGCAAUCACGAGAAAAAGUUCAUUCAGGUGCACCAUGCUGUCUAAAAUGGGACGAUAUUUAUGAACUGCAAGGCGACAUGCCAAUAAAAAACUGAAGUUAUCAUGUUUUAAAGACUGAAGCAUCCGGGCGUGGGCAUUUUCCCGGCAUUCCCCACGAAGGGUUUAGACGGUUUUUUUCCCCACGGCCCAAGGGCAUGGGGUACUACCAUUUAUUGAUUCAUUGCAUUUACAUAAUUCAUUAAUGAUUACUU